UCGAGAAUCUUCGGCAAUGGGCGCAAGCCUGACCGAGCGACGCCGCGUGCGCGAUGAAGGCCUUCGGGUUGUAAAGCGCUGUCGAGGGGGAGGAAAGCCGCAAGGCAUGACCUAUCCCUGGAGGAAGGACGGGCUAAGUUCGUGCCAGCAGCCGCGGUAAGACGAACCGUCCAAACGUUGUUCGGAAUCACUGGGCUUAAAGGGCGCGUAGGCGGACCCGCCCGUCCGGGGUGAAAGCUUUCGGCUCAACCGGAAAAGUGCCUUGGAUACCGCGGGUCUAGAGGGAGGUAGGGGCAUGUGGAACUUCUGGUGGAGCGGUGAAAUGCGUUGAUAUCAGAAGGAACGCCGGUGGCGAAAGCGACGUGCUGGACCUCUACUGACGCUGAGGCGCGAAAGCCAGGGGAGCAAACGG
rnacentral:rRNA from 1 species